ensembl:lncRNA
CCCCCACCUCUCAUCCCCUUUGGGGCAGAAACUGCCAGAACUGGGGAGAAUGGAUUCACCCCACCCUCCACACCCAACUGCCCAGCCUCGCUCUGAGCAGAGAGGAGUCCCAGGACCAUGGGCAGUGAGUGACCUGGGAAGUACAUUCAACCUUUUAUACCUCCCACUUACCCUUUGCCUGGUUAAAAUCUAUCUCUUCCUACUUUGAUCCCCAUGGUUCCUGUUGCUAACACUUGGUAACACUUUUUUUUUUUUUUAAUCUGACACCUAAUAAAUCCGAGGGCUGACAGGUAAUGUAUCUUCAUCUCCCUGGGUACCCUGCCCUAAAGGAAUGAAUGACUCUGGGAAAGAAUGAACCCAGCCCUCCAACACUCGCAUCUCAUUUUUUCCUCGCUCUAACCGAAGAGUAUGACCUCACCUCCCCUGAGGGAAAACGACCAGCCAGUCCACAGUUUGUCCUCCGGAGGAAUUCCAGCCUGGUGUUAUCAGCAUCCUAAAAGGCCACCAAGACAGCUGCCAAAGGAACCCCUCAUUUUGCGAAGAGGGUCACCUGUCACAGCCAGAGGUCAGAAACAGAAUGUCUAAGGGCCAGGCCAACCAUCUGCAAGGUCUUAAUUGCAGCACGUGGGAUCUUUAGUUGCAACGUGUGGGCUCUAGUUCUCUGACCAGGUAUUGAACCCAGGCCCCCUGCCUUGGGAGCAUACACUCUUAGCCACUGGACUAUCAGGUAAGUCUCCACACCUGAAAUUUUUUUUAGUAAAUACCCCCCACAAAAGAGAGAGAGUUCUGUUAAGAAAGAAACCACUUCAUUUAAGAAACCAGAAGAUCUGGCACCGCUAACCGCAUCCCCUCGUGGCCCCAAUCAGCGGAUGCAGGGCAGCAGUUCCAGGAUGGGGGAAGGGGCCCCUGCCCUUCACGUGGUCCUUCACCCUCAUCUGAGUGUGUGACCCCGCCCCUUCCUGCAACGAAGCUACUGAUUUUCUGCAGGGAGUAAACAGAGUCCCCACGAGCUGCCAUCUUCAGAUGAGUGUAAGGUGAGAUCAGAAGCCAAGAUCUGAGAACACAGCCGGGAGAAAAACAGGGAGAGGCCAGGAGGUGGUGAUCAGAGAAACAGACACAAGGACAAGCGAGGACCAGUGUGUUGCUGAUCAUUCUGCCCGGAGCAGCAUCUCCUCCACCCUCCCAGCCUCUCCAUCCCUUUACCCUGCUCUAUUUUCCUCUGAUGCUGAAGCUGAAGCUCCAAUACUUUGGCCACCUAAUCCAAAGAACUGACUCAUUGGAAAAGAUCCUGAUGCUGGGAACGAUUGAAGGCGGGAGGAGAAGGGGACAACAGAGGAUGAGAUGGUUGGAUGGCAUCACCGACUCGAUGGGCAUGAGUUUGAGCAAACUCCAGGAGUUGGUGAUGGACAGGGAGGCCUGGCAUGCUGCCAUCCAUGGGGUCACAAAGAGUCGGACACAACUGAGUGAUUGAACUGAACUGAACAGAUUUUCCUCCCUAGCUCUCACUACUACCUGACUGGAUAUUCGUUUCCUAAGGCUGUCGUAACAUGCACCCACAAGUUGGCUGGCUUAAAGGGCACAGGUUUUUAUGCUCUCACAAUUCUGGUGGCCAAAAGUCCUAAAUCAAGAUGUUGGCAGGGCUGCACUCCUUCCAAAGUCUCUAGGGGAGAAUCCUUCCUGCCUCUUCCAGCUUCUGGUGGGUCCAGGUAUGUUCCCUGACUUGCAGCAGCAUCACUCCUGUCUCUGCCUCUAUGUUCACAUUGCUUCCUUCCACCUGUUUCUUCUUCUCCAAACUCCUUUCCCUAAUGAAGACAUUGGUCAUUGGAUUUAGCUUGCGUGCCUGUGUGCUCAGUCAUGUCCAACUCUUUGCGACCCCAGGCACUGUAGCUCAUCAGGCUCCCCUGUCCAUGGAUUUCCCUAGAGCAGGUUGCCAUUUCCUCCUCCAGGGGAACUUCCUGACCCAGGGAUCAAACCCGUGUCUCUUGCGUCUCCUGCACUGGCA